AAGAGUUGCAAAACUCCCAAACCAUUGUGAACUUACCUUCAACGUUGCUUCGGCGGGUUGGCUCCGGGUCUCCCGGGGCCCCCGGCCCUCACGGGCGCCCGCCGGAGGUAUCUAACUCUUGAAAUUGUAUGGCCUCUCUGAGUGAUUUAUAAAUAAGUCA
rnacentral:misc_RNA from 1 species